UCCUAUAAGUUACAUCCUCAUCUAUUACUUUGUUAUUUUGUAUAAUAGAACCCAAAUAAUUUAAUUGGUUGAAUUUUGCCACCAACACUCCCAUCCAAUCGAAUCCCCUUCCAUUUCUUCUACGAGAGCUAAACUUGUAAUAAAUACAUUCCGUCUUACUUCUACUUAACCUAAAACCCUUAACCUCAAGAGUCCUUUGCCAUAACUCCAACUUUUUAAUUAACUCAUUCAAUAGUUUAAUCCAUUAAAACAACAUCAUUUACAAAUAACAUGCACCGUGGGACAUCAUCUAGAAUAUAGUUGGUUCGCUCAUCCAUAACUAAGAUAAAUAAGUACAAACUCAAAGCCUACCCCCCUAAGUAAACCCAUUGUUAUGGAUACCUUGUUUGUAUCCCCUCCCACAGUUCUUCCACUUAUAAUUGCUCACUUAACAACAUGUAUAUAUUUUAGAUUGACUCAUUUCUUCUCUAGCACACACCAGAGAACUUACCUCAAUACUCUAUCAUAUGCCUUUUCUAUGCUAAUGAAUAUCAUGUGGAGAUCCUUCUUCCUCUCCAUGUAAAUUUUCGUUAAUCUCCAUGACAGAAAGAUAAAACUCUUUUAUAUAUCUAUUAGGCAUAAAGCUAAAGUGGUUCUUUGUAACCUUAGUAAUGUCUAUAAGUUUGAAUUCAAUCACUCUUUCUGACUCAUCAAUUUAUUGCCACAGUAAAUUGGACAACUUUAGAUUUCUACUUUAUUCCAACAAAUCAAGAAGAAAAAAAGAACCUAUUUCCUUGUGCUUAUUUUU
rnacentral:misc_RNA from 1 species